GCCUAGUUAGCUUGGUUGGUAGCGCGUGUCUUGUAAGCGCUAGGCCGCGGGUUCGAUUCCCGUCCGGGGCG
rnacentral:tRNA from 1 species